UAUUUUACUAUUUCUCAUCUCCCAAUUCUGUGAUUUCCCAUCUUAUUUAAUAGAUGAACAAAAUUUUCUUUUGUAUUAAUCUUUUCUCAAGUGGUGAGAACAUAAAACAUCUGUGUUGCUGUGUGUUAGGGGCUUUAUCAUGCUUUCUGUCUGAUCAAAUUUGUGAAAAUUUUUGCUGGUAAUGCACUCUUUUAUUUAUUGGAAGUGAGUGAUAAUUAGCUUGCCACUUGCCCAGUGGUUUCUCACUUCAGGCUUUGAAUUUUAAGCCUGUGUUUAUGGAUAAGCCUUUUGACAUCAGCUGGUUCCAGUUCUGGCAAUAAACUUCAAUUAUAUUUUCUCUCUCUCUUGCGCACGCGCAUAGUUGUUAA
rnacentral:misc_RNA from 1 species